rnacentral:rRNA from 1 species
AUUGAACGCUGGCGGCAUGCUUUACACAUGCAAGUCGAACGGUAACAGGCCGCAAUGUGCUGACGAGUGGCGAACGGGGGCGUAAUGCAUCGGAACGUGCCCAGUCGUGGGGGAUAACUACUCGAAAGAGUAGCUAAUACCGCAUACGAUCUAUUGAUGAAAGCGGGGGACCGUAAGGGCUCGCGCGAUUUUAGCGGCCGAUGUCAGAUUAGGUAGUUGGUGGGGUAAAGGCUCACCAAGCCAACGAUCUGUAGCUGGUCUGAGAGGACAACCAGCCACACUGGGACUGAGACACGGCCCAGACUCCUACGGGAGGCAGCAGUGGGGAAUUUUGGACAAUGGGCGCAAGCCUGAUCCAGCAAUGCCGCGUGCAGGAAGAAGGCCUUCGGGUUGUAAACUGCUUUUGUACGGAACGAAACGGCUCUGGUUAAUACCCGGGGCUAAUGACGGUACCGUAAGAAUAAGCACCGGCUAACUACGUG